rnacentral:rRNA from 1 species
UAGAUACCCUAUUAUACUAGAUGUUAAUUUUUUUAACUUGGGUAGUAAUAGUUAUGUUCUUGAAACCCAAAGAAUUUGGCGGUAUUUUAGUCUUUUCAGAGGAACCUGUUGUUUAAUCGAUAGUCCACGAUUUUAUUCACUUUCAUUUGUUUGCAGUUUUUAUACCUCCGUCAUAAGAAUAUUUUUUUAGAAUAAAUUUUCUUAAUUGUUAAAUACAUGUAUGUCAGGUCAAGGUGAAGCUUAUAUGUAAGUAUUUAAUGGGUUACAAUAAUUUUAUUUAUAUGGAUUUUUAAAUUUAUAUUUAAAUUGAAAGUGGAUUUGUAAGUAAAGAAUAUUAAUUUAUUUUCUUGACUUUAGCUCUAAAAUAUGC